UACACGACUACAUCAAACAAACAAAAAUGCCCUUGAAAAGGUGAUCCAGGUUUAACAUGGGCCACAAGAAGGGAAGGUGCUGUUAUCUCAGUCAGUGAGAUAUGGGACGUGGCAGGUAGCAGAAGGCUCCAGGACCAGUCCCCAGCCUGACGCCACCAAGAGCAAACGAGGUCUGCAUGGCAGAACCCCACGCUUCCCAAAUCUCAGAAAGCAAGAGGGGACAUGAGACAAGGCCGAUAGCACAGCCCGAGCACCAGCACAAGAGCCAUGUACAGAGCUCCCUGAGAACCUAGCCUGCCCAUAACACAUUAUUAUCUAUGCCUUUCCAGCCAUACAAUGGAUAGACAACUACAUGACAACUCUACACUGUCUCCAGAGGUUUCUGUGUACACCAGUAGAGAGACAGAGCUCUAACAAGGAGGAUGGCAGUGCAUGGGGUUGUCCUAAUUGAGUGCUAAUGGGUCCCAACCGGGAGGCAGUCUCAGCUGGGUGCCAAUUGCUCUAAUUGAUAAGAAGCCCUGAUUGGGUCCUUGGAGGGUGCUGGUUCCUCACUGAACUUACUAAAGGGAGGCUGGAGAACGAGACAGCUGUUGCCUGAAAAGGAAGAGUUUUAGUUAUGGUUUUUCUGCUGCAAUGCAAGUAGAAGGAUUUUUAAAAGUACACAUGACAGAGCUGGGAAUGGGGACGUAGUGGAUCAAAUGAAGUUGCUUUGAAGAAAUAUUUUCACUGUGGAAGGAAGCUGUGCAUUGCAGGGUAAAAAUGAAAGUUUCUGGAAGAUAAGCUUGGAGCUUUUUCUGCUGUUCUGCAGAAUGCACAGAACUCCUAGCAGAGCCAACAAGUACUUGAAGACUUUUCACUUCUCCUGUUUGUAUGAAGUGUGGCUUUUGGAGACGUGGAACUGGAAGAGUCUCAGAUAGAACCUCCUGCCUGGAGAACUCACGCAUCCUCGACAAAAAUGAACCAGGAGGAGAUGGCUUAUCCCCAAUGCAGGUUUUCUGGACCAGUGCUGAACUGAAGAUACUGGGAUAUAAAUUAAACCCUCACAUUACAAGAAAAUAUUAAAACUGGGAAGAAAUUGCCACGUAAAAUUAGUAGUUUUCGCUUCCCUUGCAUUAGAAGCAGUAACUUGGAUGCAAUUGGCUUCUACCUAACGCCCAACCAUUUCAUGUGGUCACCGCUCCAAAAAGAAGCAGUGAGGCUCCCGAACUGACCGGAGGUGCCGGGUAAAAACACAGAGGUAACGCAACCAGCAACACCAGCCGUAACCACAACACAGCAAAUAUAAGCACUUGGUUUCCUCUCGUGGAUUUGAACAGGAGGUGCAAGCACAACAAAGAAGGGGUAGGGAAGGGACACAAAGGUAUCAGCGUGGGACAGACCAGCUUCUGGUGACAUCACCUGAGCCCCAAGGGUGCCCACAGAACCAUUGUUUGCAGUGUCUCUGGUUUGCAUAUAAUUGAUGGUUCCUCCGAGGUUCUGCCUCCCCCUCCUCCGCAGGAUGCCCUCCUCUAUGUUAGUUUAUUUUUUAAAUAAUUAACAGACUUUGUGCCUGCCUGUCUAUGCGUCCCCUUGGAAUUCCUCUCCAGCUGCUCUCAUCCAUCCCCACAGCUCCUCCCUCUCCUCUGCAGUGCUCCUUUCCUCUCACUGCAUCUUAAAGCGCUGGCUUUUGUUUUGACUUCACUGCGCAACAAAAUCUCUGGGCUCUUUUUUUUGAACAGGAUUCCUUAUUGCUGCUUGCUGGUGUCUGUAAUCCUCUUCUUCUAGCAGCUGCCACUCCUAGCAAAGAUUUUGGUCUGAAUAAUUCUUGUGGGUGGGUAUAUCAUGUUCGAGGCUUCAGCUGUUCUUGAUGGUGAGGACAAGAGCCUGCUC
rnacentral:lncRNA from 1 species